GGCGGCCACCGCUAUUGGAAUGCGAUUUAGACAUGCGAGUCGAGAGUCUUCGGGACUCGGCAGACGGCUCAGUAACACGCGGAUAAUCUGCCCUCGGAUGGGGGAUAACCCCGGGAAACUGGGAACAAUACCCCAUAGGUCUGAGAUGCUGGAAUGCUCCCAGGCCGAAAGCUCCGGCGUCCGAGGAUGAGUCUGCGGCCUAUCAGUUAGUAGUGGGUGUAAUAGACCCACUAGGCUUCGACGGGUACGGGCAUUGAGAGAUGUUGCCCGGAGAUGGACUCUGAGACACGAGUCCAGGCCCCACGGGGCGCAGCAGUCGCGAAAACUUCACAAUGUCGGAAACGGCGAUGAGGGUAUUCCAAGUGCUUGCGUACUACGUAAGCUGUUCAAUUUCCUAAAAAGCAGUUGAAGUAAGGGCUGGGUAAGACGGGUGCCAGCCGCCGCGGUAAUACCCGCAGCCCGAGUGGUGGUCGAUAUUAUUGAGCCUAAAGCGUUCGCAGCCGGUCUGGUAAAUCCUUGGGUAAAUCGGGCAGCUUAACUGUCCGAAUUCCGGGGUCACUGCCAGACUUGGGACCGGGAGAGGCUAGAGGUACUCCUUGGGUAGGGGUAAAAUCCUGUAAUCCUUGGAGGACCACCAGUGGCGAANGCGUCUAGCUAGAACGGAUCCGACGGUCAGGAACGAAGCCCUGGGUCGCNNNUGGAUUAGAUACCCAGGUAGUCCAGGGUGUAAACGCUGCGAGCUUGGUGUCGGAGAUCCUACGANGGUGUCCGGUGCCGGAGAGAAGUUGUUAAGCUCGCCGCUUGGGGAGUACGGUCGCAAGACUGAAACUUAA
rnacentral:rRNA from 1 species